UACGGGGGGGGCAAGCGUUGUUCGGAAUUACUGGGCGUAAAGGGCUCGUAGGCGGCCAACUAAGUCGGAUGUGAAAUCCCUAGGCUUAACCUAGGAACUGCAUCCGAUACUGGAUGGCUUGAAUCCGGGAGAGGGAUGCGGAAUUCCAGGUGUAGCGGUGAAAUGCGUAGAUAUCUGGAGGAACACCGAUGGCGAAGGCAAUCCCCUGGACCUGUACUGACGCUCAUGCACGAAAGCGUGGGGAGCAAACAGG
rnacentral:rRNA from 1 species